rnacentral:rRNA from 1 species
GGGUUGUGAGGUUAAGCGACUAAGCGUACACGGUGGAUGCCCUGGCAGUCAGAGGCGAUGAAGGGCGUGCUAAUCUGCGAUAAGCGCCGGUAAGGUGAUAUGAACCGUUAUAACCGGCGAUACCCGAAUGGGGAAACCCAGUGUGAUUCGUCACACUAUCAUUAACUGAAUCCAUAGGUUAAUGAGGCGAACCGGGGGAACUGAAACAUCUAAGUACCCCGAGGAAAAGAAAUCAACCGAGAUUCCCCCAGUAGCGGCGAGCGAACGGGGAGGAGCCCAGAGCCUGAAUCAGCAUGUGUGUUAGUGGAAGCGUCUGGAAAGGCGCGCGAUACAGGGUGACAGCCCCGUACACAAAAGCGCAUGUGCUGUGAGCUCGAUGAGUAGGGCGGGACACGUGGUAUCCUGUCUGAAUAUGGGGGGACCAUCCUCCAAGGCUAAAUACUCCUGACUGACCGAUAGUGAACCAGUACCGUGAGGGAAAGGCGAAAAGAACCCCGGCGAGGGGAGUGAAAAAGAACCUGAAACCGUGUACGUACAAGCAGUGGGAGCNNNNNNNNNNNNNNNNNNNNNNNNGGGCGUUAAGUUGCAGGGUAUAGACCCGAAACCCGGUGAUCUAGCCAUGGGCAGGUUGAAGGUUGGGUAACACUAACUGGAGGACCGAACCGACUAAUGUUGAAAAAUUAGCGGAUGACCUGUGGCUGGGGGUGAAAGGCCAAUCAAACCGGGAGAUAGCUGGUUCUCCCCGAAAGCUAUUUAGGUAGCGCCUCGUGAAUUCAUCUCCGGGGGUAGAGCACUGUUUCGGCUAGGGGGCCAUCCCGGCUUACCAACCCGAUGCAAACUGCGAAUACCGGAGAAUGUUAUCACGGGAGACACACGGCGGGUGCUAACGUCCGUCGUGAAGAGGGAAACAACCCAGACCGCCAGCUAAGGUCCCAAAGUCAUGGUUAAGUGGGAAACGAUGUGGGAAGGCCCAGACAGCCAGGAUGUUGGCUUAGAAGCAGCCAUCAUUUAAAGAAAGCGUAAUAGCUCACUGGUCGAGUCGGCCUGCGCGGAAGAUGUAACGGGGCUAAACCAUGCACCGAAGCUGCGGCAGCGACACUGUGUGUUGUUGGGUAGGGGAGCGUUCUGUAAGCCUGUGAAGGUGUGUCGUGAGGCAUGCUGGAGGUAUCAGAAGUGCGAAUGCUGACAUAAGUAACGAUAAAGCGGGUGAAAAGCCCGCUCGCCGGAAGACCAAGGGUUCCUGUCCAACGUUAAUCGGGGCAGGGUGAGUCGACCCCUAAGGCGAGGCCGAAAGGCGUAGUCGAUGGGAAACGGGUUAAUAUUCCCGUACUUGGUGUUACUGCGAAGGGGGGACGGAGAAGGCUAUGUUGGCCGGGCGACGGUUGUCCCGGUUUAAGCGUGUAGGUGUGUGUUCCAGGUAAAUCCGGUUCACUUUAACACUGAGGCGUGACGACGAGGCACUACGGUGCUGAAGCAACAAAUGCCCUGCUUCCAGGAAAAGCCUCUAAGCAUCAGGUAACAUCAAAUCGUACCCCAAACCGACACAGGUGGUCAGGUAGAGAAUACCAAGGCGCUUGAGAGAACUCGGGUGAAGGAACUAGGCAAAAUGGUGCCGUAACUUCGGGAGAAGGCACGCUGACACGUAGGUGAAGUGAUUUACUCAUGGAGCUGAAGUCAGUCGAAGAUACCAGCUGGCUGCAACUGUUUAUUAAAAACACAGCACUGUGCAAACACGAAAGUGGACGUAUACGGUGUGACGCCUGCCCGGUGCCGGAAGGUUAAUUGAUGGGGUCAGCGCAAGCGAAGCUCCUGAUCGAAGCCCCGGUAAACGGCGGCCGUAACUAUAACGGUCCUAAGGUAGCGAAAUUCCUUGUCGGGUAAGUUCCGACCUGCACGAAUGGCGUAAUGAUGGCCAGGCUGUCUCCACCCGAGACUCAGUGAAAUUGAACUCGCUGUGAAGAUGCAGUGUACCCGCGGCAAGACGGAAAGACCCCGUGAACCUUUACUAUAGCUUGACACUGAACAUUGAGCCUUGAUGUGUAGGAUAGGUGGGAGGCUUUGAAGUGUGGACGCCAGUCUGCAUGGAGCCGACCUUGAAAUACCACCCUUUAAUGUUUGAUGUUCUAACGUGGACCCGUUACCCGGGUUGCGGACAGUGUCUGGUGGGUAGUUUGACUGGGGCGGUCUCCUCCUAAAGAGUAACGGAGGAGCACGAAGGUUGGCUAAUCCUGGUCGGACAUCAGGAGGUUAGUGCAAUGGCAUAAGCCAGCUUGACUGCGAGCGUGACGGCGCGAGCAGGUGCGAAAGCAGGUCAUAGUGAUCCGGUGGUUCUGAAUGGAAGGGCCAUCGCUCAACGGAUAAAAGGUACUCCGGGGAUAACAGGCUGAUACCGCCCAAGAGUUCAUAUCGACGGCGGUGUUUGGCACCUCGAUGUCGGCUCAUCACAUCCUGGGGCUGAAGUAGGUCCCAAGGGUAUGGCUGUUCGCCAUUUAAAGUGGUACGCGAGCUGGGUUUAGAACGUCGUGAGACAGUUCGGUCCCUAUCUGCCGUGGGCGCUGGAGAACUGAGGGGGGCUGCUCCUAGUACGAGAGGACCGGAGUGGACGCAUCACUGGUGUUCGGGUUGUCAUGCCAAUGGCACUGCCCGGUAGCUAAAUGCGGAAGAGAUAAGUGCUGAAAGCAUCUAAGCACGAAACUUGCCCCGAGAUGAGUUCUCCCUGAGACUUAGAGUCUCCUGAAGGAACGUUGAAGACGACGACGUUGAUAGGCCGGGUGUGUAAGCGCAGCGAUGCGUUGAGCUAACCGGUACUAAUGAACCGUGAGGCUUAACCUUACAACGCCGAAG